ensembl:lncRNA
GAGCCUCCAGGAGGGCAGGUACGGGCCCUGUACUUCAGCUGUGCCACCUGGGGGAAAGGAAAUGAUGCCUUCUGAUUGAGAAAACCUGAUGGGUAAAUGAUCAAUAAAUGAGGUGAUAAUCAGAGGACCUCAAAGAGAACUGGGUUAUAACAUCAGGAUUUUUAGCUAAGAAGCUGUGUUGAGCCAGAAGAUGUGAGCCUGCUGUCUCUGGAGGGAUGGAGUGCUGGUGCUACCUUGCUGUUGUGACCUGCUUCUCUUGGGAAGAGUCUGUGAGAUGGAAAUGAAAAACCCUGAAAUUUGGCACUGUGGAGGGAGCCCCAGAAUACCAAAUCUGUGUUUGACGGAUCAGCUAGAGACUGACCUCAAUAGCAACAAUCCUCGUGGUCUGGGCAGCUUUCCAGCUAAUGAGGGUAUUUCAAGAGGAGGGAGGGACCUGGGGCUGAGUUUCCCCUGCGGCUGCAUCGCAUCCCCUCAGUACACUGAGAACCAAGGUUGGGAACUUAUGCUGUUCUGGACCCAUCUACCCAUCUGAAGUCCAGACUUCAGAAGUUUGAGGACUUAGAGCUGGGUGUCCUGAGGACCUGGAGUUGAUUUGGACAGAACUUUUAUCUCUCUAGUAAACUUCAUGCUUUUGUAGUUGUAAUGUAUGCCCAAGUUUUGAGUCAACUUGUGAUUGGUUACUGCUACUCUGUGUUAUCACGACUUCAAUCGAGUUUAAAUUACAUAAAUGUGACGCUCGUGUAACCUGUGCUUUUAAAAGAAGGAAAAGGGGUGAUUUCUUGCCCCUGGUUCCAGCUUGUUGAUGUGGCUCCCGAAACUGUUGGUUUGUUGUGGGGUUUUUUUGUUUGUUUUUGCUUGUUUGUUUGUUUUCAGCGAUGAGACCAAUCGUAGAGCAGUGUCUUCUAUUGCAAACGCUGACCCUGGAAAGCAAGGCUCCCUGCGGUGUCCCCAGCUGCGCUGGGGUGGUGCUGGCAGUUUGAGCUCACAGCACCUUCUGACUCCGUAUCUUUGAAAAGGUGUUGGAACUUGUCCUGUCGUUGAAGUCAAUGGAUAUUUUCCAAACAGGAGCAGGGUCUUCAGCUGUCUUUCACAACUCCAUAACUGAUUAGGGUACCUCAGCUAAGCAUCAGGUUUAAUCCCAAACUGUUUUUAAUGUUGUGCAGCUUUCCUGUUUCAAAUUCAUAGCAAAUUAAUUCUUUCUGGUUGCUACGGGAAAUUUAUUUCCCUGUUGAGAAAGAAAAAAGUAUACCCAAAAAGUCUUGCUCUUUGGAGUUACUUUCUUCAGUUCUUUUGCUUGCCUAUUACAAUGGUUUUUGCCCUUAAACUGGUUUGUCCUUUUGAACUCCAUUCAAUCCAGAUAUAGCUUCUGCUCCUGCAGUUUAUAACUGGAACUUGCAUCUAAUUAAAAUUGCUUCUGCUUAUGAAAUAGAAGCAAACAGAGGGAUGGAAGUAAUAAUUCUCUAACAAAAUACCUGUUCACUCCAGGUAUAUUUUGUUCACUUAUUUUAUUGCAAACUGUGUUACAGGAACAACACAUGCUCAAUAGUCACAGCACAUUCUCACUUUGGAUAAUUAUUAAUUUUUAAUUCAGAGUCAACACUGGUGAAUUUGCAAUCUUCUGAAAGGCUCGUUUGCAGAAGUAUGUGUUGUAGGAGCCAAUUUUGUAGGCAGAUUUGGUUUUAAAUGGUUUCUCUGGCUUGUUUCAGUUUACAAGCUCAUUGUCUGUAAUAAACUAAAACAAAAUGUGUUCA